UCACCCGGAGACUGAGUAUCAAUGUAGAAGGCACCACCGUUCACACUGAUCAUGAUCAUGGCAACGAGACCACCCCUCUCCUGGGAAAUAGGAGGCAAGGGCUAAAGGGGCCUCCUUCCCCUCAUCUGUCUUCAAUCUGAUGAAGGCCAUCAUGGGCAGUGCCAUCCUGGACCUGGCCUACGCAAUGGCCAACACCGGUAUAGUGGGCUUCUGUUGCUGCUAGUGUCCAGUCUGGCAGCUUACUCUAUACACCUCCUACUGAUGCUGUGUGAUCUAACAGGUGAGUUGGCAUUCAGAUCUCCACUCAAACAUCAGUUGAAUUUCAUUAGGCUGCCGCUGUGUAAUGUCCAUUUAGCUCUUUAAAAAAAAGUUGUAAUGUUUUGUAUUUUUGUAUUUGUUUCUUAUUCACUCUAUAUAUGAACAACAACAUAGAUGCACACAAACAGUGACUACAUCUCAUCUGCCCAGACCCGCAUGCUCACCCCCCAUCCCUAGUGCCUCCAUUAUUGUUUGCCACUUGGCCUUAAAUUGUAACAAUUUGUAUUUCUCGGUCGCCCAUGCUAUUUCAUUAUUUCAAUACUAAAUCAUUAGAUGUUUUCAUUGAGUUAAUGAUGGAACUUUGAUUUUCAAGUUUUUAGUACAUGUAUUUUCAAGAUGAUGAUGAGAAGAGAAUCGUCCAGACUAUUGGGUAUCUCACGACACCCCCAUAUGCCAUGUCUUGAAAUAUGCAGACAGACGGAUAUUUGUUUUUUACAUUGUAAUACUUCUGUCACCCAACUUUCUAGCCCACAUUUAUUUGGAAUUUAUAGCAUUCCUAGAAUGCAUGGAUUAUUGAGUCAUUAGUUUUACAUUUAGGACAUGACUCUGCCGUUGUGCUGUAGAAUUUGUGAGUUUUGUCUCUUGUAUAAUACCUUCUAUACUUCAGUUUCGUUAGUUAUGCUCCAAUCAGUUAUUCUUAAGUCUUGGUUCCAAUCAUUUAUAUUUUUUUUCUAAGAGAUUGUCAGUUAGAUAUGUUCUCUGCAAGAUUUUGUGUAUCUUCCCUAUCAUAUGAACAUACUUUUCAGACUCAAAUAAGAUUCCCUCAAGGUUGCUUUGAUGUCCAAAAGAUUUCAAAUCUACAUUUCGUGAUAAGUUGCAUAUAUUUGAAACUAUCUACAUUGGUCAGUCCAAAAUUACUUUUUAAUUUUGUCAUCCAGAUAAAUGUAUUUCCUGUUACCAAGUCAUUUACAGUUUCUAUGCCUUUAGUCUUCCUUGUGGACCAAUUUAUUGUUGAAUUGUGAAAAGCGAUCCAAGGAUUGUUCCAUAGGGUUGUGUUUUUAGGACUGAUAUUGGUUCUUGUAGAAUACGUUUCAUUUUCUUCCAUAUUGUUAUAGUGUUCUUAACUAUGAAGUUAAUGUUUUUAUCUUGAUCCUCUGAAAAUAAACCUGUAAAAAGAUUCUGGAGAUGAGCAUCUUCAGUAUGUACCCAUUGUUCCCAUUUGGUGCAUUUAACUAUAUGUAAAAGCCUUUGUUAGCGAGUUGAUACAAUUCCAAGUCUGGAAGGUUUAAACCCUCAGACUUAGGAAGAUGUGAGAUAUGAGUUUUAUUUGCCCAUAUAAAGUCUUAUGACCGAGUAUACUUUUUUUAAAGAAUGUCUUCGGUAGGGUAAUUGGUAAUACCGAAAAGAAAUACAAAAACUUUGUCAGCCAUGCCAUUCUACAGAGGUUUAUUCUACUUGUAAGAUUCAUGGGAAGAUUUUAAUUUAAUUAGAUCUGCUUUCAUAUUGUUGAGUAAUGGAAUAUUUAUUUAUGUUUGUUACUUAU